CGUAUGGGUCAGACUCCUGUCAUCCUGCUUCAGUAUUCAUUGAGCUGUCUGUGUUUGAUGUGGUGGGCACAUUGUGCCUGGUUUGUUACACCUGUUUGCCUCUCAGCUGAAACCCGCUGGUGCAGAGCUGCAGCCCAUUGUGCUAAGCACACUGGCCUCUUGAGCGUGAUGUGAAUUAUAUGGAGCAGGUGUGAGUGCCAGGGGAAGGUGGAGGUCGGUGUCACACUUCACAGCAGAAAGCCACCCACCAUCAAGGCUGCUUUUCAUGUGCUCAGCCAACGUGAACUCUACUGGAAACAGAAGGCCUUCUGAGGCUGUGUGCAAGCCUGAAGGAACAGAGCAGGCUUUUGAGGGAGGAAAUCAAAGAGGUUGGAAAAGUUCCUGCUCCAAAUCAAGGUAAUUUUUAAUGACUUGUAAGUCAAGACUGGACUGAGGAAAGAAAAACAUCAUGGUUUAGAAAAAUCAUCUCCCUUGCCUUCAAAGCAAGUAGGACACUUUCCAGAUCAAGCUGCUCGCUUCAGUCACCUUGGCAGAACAGAAGAGCACUCUGCAAAGGGAGCAGGUUACAAUUCCUGCACUGUGGUGCUGCCUUCUGUGAGGAGAGGGUGGGUUGUCCUGCCAGACUGUGCCACGUUACUGAGAGAGUGUCCUUGAGGGUGGCAAACAAUUGCCCUUACUGGGAAACAAGGCCAUGCUGUGUGCUUUUCUCCCAAAGGGAACAGUAAUGCUUGGAUCUGACCCUUUUUGUGCUGUUGGUGUUGGGUUAGAGCUGCCCAACCCCUGGAGACUUUCCUCCCAGAGAUAUAACGUCUGAUGAUGCCCCAAGGCUACCGUGCCUUACAAGGGAAAGCCUCUGGCUUUACUUACAACAAAAUUCAUGAGCUGCUACAACUGACAGAAGUUUUUUAAGUACGGGGGAAAAGUCUGUAAGGGUUGAUGAAACUUUGUUUUAGCAAAGCGAUUUUGGAUGGCUCCCAGUGGUUGGAGAAUGCUUAUAUUGUACACAUUCAAUAAGGUCAGCUGGGAAGUCAUUCUUGUUACCCUGUUUUCCAAGACACUGGUUUCUUAUUGGCUGUUCUUCUGAUAAUGCUCCUGUGUAUUCAGCGUUCGAUGCUGCAGAAGAUGCCUCAGUUUAUGGGAGAAAUUCCUGCACAUUUCAUGGAGUCCCAGAAAAAUCCUGCCAUUAAAGGUUUUUUUGCAGCAGUCCCACUAGGUAAAAUGGAGACCCUUCACCACGAAAAUGUUGUGCUUCUAGGAGAAGUUUCGCCUGUUAAAUCCCAGUGUUUUCAGCAUGUUCUAGUGUGUAAUGUCUUUCCAUUCUGCCUUGAAGGGAGUUAGGAAAGGGGGAUACCUACAGCGGUUAUGACAUAAUUUUUUGAUUUCAGCAACUGGAAUUGGGGGUGGAGGAAACAAACAGAAAAGUAGAAGUGUUGGGAAAGGAGUAUUUUACUAAGAGCGGCAAAAGGAGUCUGAAAGACUGCUGUACAAAGCAGACUUCCUAAAAAGCUAGAUAAUUUCUUCACUAUGUUGGCAUAGAUCUGAAAAGUUUUAUAAGCUUUCUUAUUUAAUAUUUCUGAUUACUUUAAAAAUUUGGAAGAACUGGAUUAGAGUGUUACCCAGUAUCAGCAUGCAUUAUGUAAUUCUAAGGCAGUAGAGUUACAAAAUUCCAAGACAGUUUGAUUGAGGUUUUCUUGGAAGAUGUUAAAUGGUACAAUGUCUAAUAGCAGUUGCUGCCUAUGAAGGGGGAAGUUUUCUGCCAGUUCUGAGAUCAAGGGUUACAGAAUUUGCAGAAGUUGCCUUGCUUGAGGCUUCGCAUUUCAAAGCUGCAGUCUUCUGAAGUCACUCCUAGCAGAGCUGGGUUCUGUUGGUGCAAACUGUCGUGCAUACAGGCACAGCCUCACACGCAACAAGUAAUGUUUGAACAAAGCCUUCUGGCUGGAUUGAAACCUCUCAUGAUUAGCAGGUAAUUAAAAAAAAAAAAAAAGAAAAAGAAAAAAAAUCCAGUUUCUUGAAGCCAGCAUAAACCCCCACCAACCUUACUGCUUAAAUAACGGAGGAGAAGAUCUCAGGUAGUGCACUAACGUCUGCAAAUCAGAGUUAAAUAAUCUUGGCAAUACACUUUCCAGAAAUAAUGUCCUUUAUGACUUGUUGGUGAGAGGCAUAAGUUGUCAGUAGAAAGAGCAGGGAUGGACCACAAUCAAGUAUGGCACACACUGCAGCAGAAUGGGGCAAGAAGCAGAGUUGGGUUAGCCAAAACUGAGUCUUUCACUUCUCUGUAGCCUUCAUUUGGCACCUUGCUUUAACCUUUGACAACAGUCAGUUGUGCCAUACGACCUCCUCUUCCUUGUUCUUGGCAGUCUGGAAAUGCAAUGAAGAAUAUGCUUACUUCUCUGAUUAAAAUCCUCCCAGCAGGGCUCUUUUGAAAGAACACAAUGUCACAAUGGAGAGCCCAGACAAGGAACUAGCAAAAAAAAAAAGGUAAUAGAAUAGUGAAUUUAUAGUCAUGACGUGGGGGGCACUUGACAUCAGUAACAAUCUCGGGAUGCAAAGAACAAUUACUCUAAUUCUCUUGGUGUUUUAUUAAGGAUAGGGCAGCAGAAAGGAUUUGGGGCUGCCAUAAGGAAAGUGAGGGCUGAUGCUUUUCCAAGCUAGCAUUUGCCAGACAAACAACCUGCACAGGAUUUUUAAGAACAUAGGUGAGUGCAAAGGACACUGAAAGUAACUGCCUGGGCUAGGGUUAGGCUCUUCAUUUUUCCCUCUCCUGGGAAGAAGAUGUGUGAUGUGCCACCUUCACCACCACAUGUGUUUUGUAUUUAUUUGCAUUGCUUCUAUUAGCCCUUUCACUGAUCUCUUUUAUUUGGAUGAACAUUUAUACUUUGAUGGCAAGAGUAAGAACAGGGUGUAAGGACAGAGAAGAUAUUUCUGGCCAGCCUGCUGCAUUGUGGCAUUCUUCAAACUUCAUGGUGGCCUGGUUACAUUUCUGGUUUCUUUUCCGUGUAAGUGUUGAGUGACACUGUCCCUGAUGAAAAUCACAGAUGUAGGCUGGUUCAACACCACCUCCCUCCCACCUCCAUGUAACAGUCCCUCCCUCUCACCUCCACCCGUGGUUUAUGGUCAGCCUAGUUAAGUUCUUUUGCCUCUUUUAAUAUAAAAAGUAGCAGGCGUUGGUGGCCUAGACUAAGGAAGUGUGAUGUAGCUUUAAAUAUGAUUUAUGUCUUCUAGAUAUUCUUUAGGCUAGCAAAGGGUAUUCUUGCAUCAACCUAAAAUGUAGUUGAAAACUACAGCUAUCCAUCAGAAGCAAAGACCAGGAAAACUAGUAACAAUCAUUUCAUGUUCUUUUGCUUUAUCCUCCAUACAGCUUAUUUUUGAGUGGAUGUUUUAGAGGUACUUCCUUAGAUUCCUCCUCUGGACCAGACACCAUGAGCUGCACUCAGAUUAAAUCCUGUUUCCAAAGUAGCUCCAGUAGCACACAGCGUGGCCGUGCUUGGAACAAACACAUCUGUGACCGAAGCAAGGCCUCCGGUGUCUGGUGUAAAUGUGUCAACAUGCACCUUGUUCCUAUUUUAACAGUGACUUAGUCAAAAGGGGGGAGUGGUGAUGAAUACAAGCCAGUAACCUUAAGAGCCUUCUCUUCAUGAACAUGUAGUGGAGCCCUUUUCACUCUUUCAAUCUUCUUUGAAAUUCAGCUGGAUUAAAGCAGUGAACAGUUUGUAAUUGUUUACCAGGAGUAUGAUGAGCCACAACAACGAAGCGUAAAAGAAACAAGCUGAAAUGCCCAAUAACCUCCUCAACACCCAGCAAUUAUGCUGGUACAUCACAGAACAUAACUGAACCACUGGUUAAUAAAACAGUUAAUGAAGUCAUUCUAAACCACUUUUUUCUACUUUUCUGCUGAGCAGCCUAUGAGAGUGCCACUAACCAUCAGUGGCAUAGAGGAGCUUUUACAGGAACAGGGAUGAAGGAAGGGAAAAUCUAGAGAAAAGAGUCUAAAUAUCUGAGUAUAGAGUUUCCCCUUGAACCUAAACAAAGAUUUUAUUUUUUCAUUUCCUUUCCCAUAAAUGUGAAAGUUUUAGGAUGCAGUCACCUAAAGCAUUUUCUGUAUCAGCAAGUCUCAUUUAAGGAGACUACUGAUCUCUUGCUCCUGCGUCUGCGCUGACACGUGCCAGCCUCUCGCUCCGUCAGUGCCACCAUCCGUGGUGCUGCAUGCUGGAUAGCUUCCCCUGCCAGAGCACAAGGAAGGCCCCUGACCACCUCCGUGUGCAGCAGCAGAUGCUGUAUUGGAGAUCCUGCCCGGUUCUUCUGGACACAGACACACAAAACCAGUAGCUGAUAGAACAGUAAUAACCCAUUCAAAGAAACAGAAAGUGGCUUUAGGAACUUGGAGUAGAAGCCCUUAGGAGAGCAUGGACAUUUGAUUUCUGCUUAC